GAUGAAGAACGCAGCGAAAUGCGAUAAGUAGUGUGAAUUGCAGAAUUCAGUGAAUCAUCGAAUCUUUGAACGCACAUUGCGCCCCUUGGUAUUCCAUGGGGCAUGCCUGUUCGAGCGUCAUUUGUACCUUCAAGCUCUGCUUGGUGUUGGGUGUUUGUCUCGCCUCUGCGUGUAGACUCGCCUCAAAAUAAUUGGCAGCCGGCGUAUUGAUUUCGGAGCGCAGUACAUCUCGCGCUUUGCACUCAUAACGACAGCGUCCAAAAGUACAUUUUACACUCUUGACCUCGGAUCAGGUAGGGAUACCCGCUGAACUUAAGCAUAUCAAUAAGCGGAGGA
rnacentral:misc_RNA from 1 species